GAUGAACGCUAGCGGCAGGCCUAAUACAUGCAUGUCGGACGGGAUUCAGGAGCUUGCUUCUGAUGAGAGUGGCGCACGGGUGCGUAACACGUAUGUAACCUACCUUUAUCAGGGGGAUAGCCUCUCGAAAGAGAGAUUAAGCCCGCAUAAAAUCACAGCACAGCAUUGUGUAAUGAUCAAAUAUUUAUAGGAUAAAGAUGGGCAUGCGGAACAUUAGCUAGAUGGCGGGGUAACGGCCCACCAUGGCGACGAUGUUUAGGGGAUCUGAGAGGAUGGCCCCCCACACUGGUACUGAGACACGGACCAGACUCCUACGGGAGGCAGCAGUAAGGAAUAUUGGUCAAUGGGCGGAAGCCUGAACCAGCCAUGCCGCGUGCAGGAAGACGGCCCUACGGGUUGUAAACUGCUUUUAUACGGGAAUAAACCCAGAUACGUGUAUCUGGCUGAAUGUACUGUAAGAAUAAGGAUCGGCUAACUCCGUG
rnacentral:rRNA from 1 species